GUGCGAGACCGAUAGCGAACAAGUACCGUGAGGAAAAGAUGAAAAGAACUUUGAAAAGAGAGUUAAAGAGUACCUGAAACUGCUGAAAGGGAACCGAAUCGUAUCCAGUGUCUAUAAUCCAUGGCAUAUUUCAUUGGCGAGUGAGUGCGUGCAGCGUUUUGGAAGUGGUUUUCCGCUCCUGUCGCUGUUGUGCAUCUGCUUGCUGGUGCCCUGUGCUGCGGUGGGACGUCAGAGUCAGUUUGUAUGUUGCGGGAAAUGGUUAUUGGGGAGGUAGGUCACUUCGGUGGCUGUUAUAUCCUGGUAACUAGUCGUCGUGGCUGAGACUGAGGUGCCUACAAUGUGCUUUCGAGUGUGCGGGAUUCUCGUGUGGCUGUUUGCUUUGAUAGCUUGCUAUGUUGGUGAAUAAGUCGUGCGAUUGAGACUUGUAUUAACUUGUUGCUGUUCGGGACUUUGA
rnacentral:rRNA from 2 species